rnacentral:rRNA from 1 species
UAAGGAAUAUUGCUCAAUGGGAGAAAUCCUGAAGCAGCAACGCCGCGUGGAGGAUGAAGGGUCUAUGACUUGUAAACUCCUGUAAAGAAGGAAAAAAUUCCCAUUAGAUGGGAGAUGAUGGUACUUCUGGAGUAAUCCCCGGCUAACUACGUGCCAGCAGCCGCGGUAGUACGUAGGGGGCAAGCGUUGUCCGGAUUUACUGGGUGUAAAGGGUGAUCAGGCGGAUUUGUAAGUCAGAGGUGAAAUCUUACAGCUUAACUGUGAAACUGCCUUUGAUACUGCAAGCCUAGAGUAUGGAAGAGAGUGAUGGAAUAUCUGGUGUAGCAGUGAAAUGCGUAGAUAUCAGAUAGAACACCAAUGGCGAAGGCAGUCAC